rnacentral:misc_RNA from 1 species
AACCAUAGAAACCUGCGGAGUACCUGCGGAAGGAUCAUUACCGAGUGUAGACCCCCCAUAAAAAAGGGGGUCAACCUCCCGUCCUUUUGCUUGGGGCAUCCCCACUAACAUUGGGGGGUUGCUUUUAAGACCUGCUUCGGUGGGGUUUCCCCCCACCGGAAUACCCUCAAAAAUUCUUUGUAUAACCGUUCUGUCCGAGGGUUUUGAAAUAAAAGCGAAAAACUUUUAACAAUGGAUCUC